UUCACCCUAGGAAUAAUUUGAAUAGCCAAUUUCUCAAGUAUAUUAAAAAGAGAUUCAAUUACCCAAAAUGUAUUUAUAUUUGUUUCUAAGGUUUACAUUUAGUGAGUUUAUAUAUACCUAUAUAGUGAGUCCUGUGUGGUGAAUAUUGAAUAUUUGAAUUAGCUACCUGGAAUUUAACAAAGAAAUUGAUUAGCCCUGACAUUAUGCACCAGGCAAAUGAUAUAAGCCCAACCAGAAUAAAAUAUGUGCAUAAAGCUUUUUAAAUUUAUGUAUUAUUUUCAUAAUAUAAUGACAUUUAUCUUGUUUUCAAAGCAGCUUUAAGAGUUUUAGAAUAAAUGUUCUUUUUAUGUUUUAUUCUCAACAAUAUAAUGUUUAGAUAUAGUCAGUAUAAAUAUGGAAAACCAUGUGAGAUAUGUAAUUUCAUCACCAGCUUUGUCUUUGGAAUCACACUAACAGAACUAUUUGGC
rnacentral:lncRNA from 1 species